rnacentral:rRNA from 1 species
GAUGAACGCUGACAGCAUGCUUAACACAUCAGCAAUUGAUUGGUGGCGGACGGGUGAGUAACGCGUAAAGAACUUGCCUCACAGCUAGGGCCAACAUUUGGAAACGAAUGCUAAUACCUAAUACUGUGAGAGAGCUUUGCGUCCCAUUAGCUAGUUGGAGAGGUAACGGCUCACCAAGGCGAUGAUGGGUAGCCAGCCUGAGAGGGUGAUCGGGCACAAGGGGACUGGGACACGGGCCUUAGUGCAACGGGAGGCAGGAGUGGGGAAUAUUUGACAAUGGACCAAAGUCUGAAGCAGGAAUUCUGUGUGCACGAUGAAGUUUUCGGAAUGUAAAGUGCUUGCAGUUGGGAAGCGGUACCAACAGAAGAAGUGACGGCUAAAUACGUGCCAGCAGCCGCGGUAAUUC